rnacentral:misc_RNA from 1 species
UGUCGUAACAAGGUAGCCGUAGGGGAACCUGCGGCUGGAUCACCUCCUUUCUAAGGAUGAUCCUUCAGAUCAGCUCACGCUAUCUAUCGGAUCGUUUUAGAAACAUUCAGGGGCCAACAGUUUCAGGAUUGUUGAGCUCCAUUGGCGGGAUUUCGCCGUCUUCGUUUCUCUUUCUUCGCGGACGAACACGCGCCAGGGGCUGAGCGCUGUGCGGUGCACCGACUAAACGUCGCGUGCGCGCCGGCAUGUCUCUCGUGUUAGGGGCUUGUAGCUCAGUUGGUUAGAGCGCGCGCUUGAUAAGCGUGAGGUCGGAAGUUCAAGUCUUCCCAGGCCCACCAUUUUGAUCGAGUGCGGAGCAUUCGUCUUCUGGUACGGGGCCAUAGCUCAGCUGGGAGAGCGCGUGCUUUGCAAGCAUGAGGUCGUCGGUUCGAUCCCGUCUGGCUCCACCAGAUGGUUUGAUCACCAACGGCGUUACCGUCGUCCGCGAAACAUCACUUCGCACUCAUUGGUCCGGAUGGACGGUGACGUGCGUGUUUUCUGACAUCGUAAAGAGGAGAUCGAUCCGAGUUUGGAUCAAGCGAAGCAAUUCGCCUGAACCAUUCAUUAUCUCCGGGAUCAUUUCGGCGCUCGCUUUCAAUCGUGAGAUUGGAUGCGGGUUGUAAAUGAUCCCUUUUAGCGAAGCUUGACCGCCUCGCUAUCGGGCCGAUCUUACGAAGCAAGCUGGUCUUUCUAGUCAAUGUCCGGCUGCGCGAUCGCAUUCAUCGAGGAUGCGCGCCUUCAGUGGCAAUUGUGCAGACAACAUUCUGCCGAGUGUGUGGACAUUGAUAAUGAGAGCAAUCAAGUGCCUUAAGGGUGUUCGGUGGAUGCCUUGGGCAA